rnacentral:misc_RNA from 1 species
GGUUUGGAAAAGACAGCAUAGAGGUAAUUAUAUUGUUGAUAUUUGUGUUUAAGAUAAUUGAAAGUGUAUGUUAAUAUUAAUGACAGAUACAGAUCAAUAUCACAAGUAACAUCAUAUGAACUACUGAAUUGCUUCUGUUAACGUUAUAGAGCAUACUUAUCUAUUUAAAAACCAAAAACAAACAUCUUUCUUAUGGUCAGGGUAUGAGUUUGUUCUUAUGGGAAUGUGAAAAAGUUGGUGGUUAUCAGUUGCCCUGUUGGAUAUGACUCAUUUAUACUGCAUAUUUUAGUACACCAAGGUGGUGCUUAGGUCUCUUAUUUUUCAUUUUGUCCCCCAUUUCUUAAUUAAGACUGGUAGAAAUCAGUGCUUCAUUGAUCUGCUUUUUCCUUGCUUACCUGAAUGCACAUGAUGGCUUUUGGUCUUCCCUCAUCCUGGACACUGACUGGACCACAUAAUUUCUGACGAGUACUGAUGAGAUGUUAUUUUUCCAGUUAAAUUUGUUGCAGCAUCUGUGCAUCACUUAGUUGGUGAAUUUCUUGAACUGUGGGCUAUGUGGCUUAAUCAAUUUGGCACACACAUUUUAGUUUGUUCUUUUACUAUAUGAAGUAUUUGAUUUUUAAAAUGUGUCUUUUUUUACAAUUGCACUGUUCUUUGUUUCCUAUCGAGGUAAGAUUUUGUUCUGCAACUUUG